rnacentral:rRNA from 1 species
GAUGAACGCUGGCGGCGUGCCUAAUACAUGCAAGUCGAGCGAACAGACGAGGAGCUUGCUCCUCUGACGUUAGCGGCGGACGGGUGAGUAACACGUGGAUAACCUACCUAUAAGACUGGGAUAACUUCGGGAAACCGGAGCUAAUACCGGAUAAUAUAUUGAACCGCAUGGUUCAAUAGUGAAAGACGGUUUUGCUGUCACUUAUAGAUGGAUCCGCGCCGCAUUAGCUGGUUGGUAAGGUAACGGCUUACCAAGGCAACGAUGCGUAGCCGACCGGAGAGGGUGAUAGGCGGCACGGGAGCUGGGACACGGUCCAGGCUCCUACGGGAGGCAGCAGUAGGGAAUCUUCCGCAGUGGGCGAGAGCCUGACGGAGCAACGCCGCGUGAGUGAUGAAGGUCUUCGGAUCGUAAAACUCUGUUAUUAGGGAAGAACAAAUGUGUAAGUAACUGUGCACGUCUUGACGGUACCUAAUCAGAAAGCCACGGCUAACUACGUG